CUUAUAUUCUUCUCUCUCUUCUCUUUCUUAUGUUAUGUUGUUCUGUCCUACACAAGUUUUAAACACGAAAUUACGCUUUCACCCUUCAUUAAUAAUAUCAAUAACAAAAAUACUCCUAGUAGGGGCAACUAACUCUCCAUACCAGAUUUGGGAGUAUACUUUUUCUAGAACUUAGGAGUAUUACGGAAUACAAAACCAUCUAAUCAUGUAUAUUCUCCUUAAAAAAAAAAAAAAAAAUCUAAUCAUCUAUAUUUUCAACAACUGCAUCUUAUUCAUCAACACUUUCUAGUAAAAACCCCCCAAAAGAUUACUGUUUAUGUUUUCAGAAAAAUAAAAAAAUAGGGGAAAAAGGGGCGAACAUACCAUUAGGACAAACUUACUGUUUAUGUUCUCUUAAUUCCGGCCACCUGCCGCCGAUCUAUAUUUCUCCUUUCGCAAAUUUACAAAUUAGGGUUCAUCAAAUCUUACUAUUCCAUUUCAAGGAAUGAGUUUAAUUUUGAGAUUGAGGCAACAUUUCCCAACUGGGUUCCUCCCAAAACCCAAUCUUUCUUCCAUAAUCACUUCCAAAACCCUAAACCCUAAUUUGAUUUAUCGCACAUAUGCUCAAUCUGCACUACAAGAAGAGGUAGAAGAAGUAGAAAUUGAUCCCAGAAAACUCCCUGCAGAUUAUGACCCAUCAAACUUUGAUCCAACGGCUCACCGUAGUCCUCCAAGUGAGAGAGUUUUUAGGCUAGUUGAUGAAGUUUCAUCUCUAACAUUAGCAGAAGCAGCUAAUUUAGGGUCAAUUUUGAUGAAGAAAAUGGGGAUGAAUGAAAAUGAACCUCCUGUAAUCGGGGUAUUGAAUCCUGGGGCAGUAGCAGGGUUAGCUCAAAUGGCAGCGAAACCGGCUGCUGGUGAUGCCCAGGAAGAGAAGAAGGAAGAGAAGAGUGUGUUUGAGUUGAAAUUGGAGUCGUUUGAAGCGGCUUCGAAGCUUAAAGUUAUUAAGGAGAUAAGGUCAUUUACUGAUCUUGGAUUGAAGGAAGCCAAGGAUUUAGUGGAGAAGACGCCGUCGACUUUUAAGAGGGGUGUGCCGAAGGAUGAAGCUGAGCAGAUUAUUGAGAAGUUGAAAGCUGUUGGAGCUAUAGUUGUCAUGGAAUGAGGUAGUUGAUCACAAUGGCAAAAGGUAGAAUUAGCUUGCUCGAACGUGGCACUCGAUUCGGAGUAAGUGAUGAACUUGAAAGCUCUUGCUGCUAAUCCAACUGUUACUUCCUGUAGUUUGUCUUCGUCUGUAAUGAUUCCCUUAAGAACCUGCAUUACAUAAAAGAGAACACAUCGGCCUUUGCCUUUGAAUGAUCUUUUCACCUUAUGAAAGUUUGCAUAGGAAAAUUUUCUCAAAUAAUGCCUACUCAAUUUCGAUUCACAGGUUAAAUAAGUUUAGAUAAGUUAUUUUCAGGUAAAAAGACGAAUAGGCAUACUUACAGUCACUCCAUCUUCAGUUUUCAAACUUCAUAUGGCCUAGUUUAUCUGGUAGUCAUGCUUAGUCUUUGUCCUUCUCAGCUUAUUAGAAUAACUUUCAAUAUCGACAAAAGAAGUUAUUCGGUUUAGUUUAAAGCCCUAUUCAUUAUCAAUAACAACUGAAAAGUACUUACUAUUUGGUCCUAAUAUUUUAAAAGUCAUAUGAUACUUAAGGUUAAGUCAUUGGUAAUACUAGUCAUGCUCAUUUUGAACACCGACAACUAUUAAAUUGGAAACUCUUUCUAUUUUUUGUUUUUGGAAAACAGAGAAAUUGAAAACCAAAUACAAAAACGAUAAAGAUAAUGAACAUUCACAAUCAAUCAUUCUAACAUAAUCUCUCAUGAAUUGAUAGAACUUACCAUGGGUCCUGCUGCACCAACUCUCCUUAGCUCCAUGAAGCAAUCCUCUGAACUAUUGGUGCACACAUUUCUGAAUAUCCUUGCAGCAUUAAAACGAACUUGUGGAUCUUCUAAUGCUUUCACAAGCUUCUCUUUUCCUCCUAGUUUCAAGAUACAGUUAUAGUUCUGCUUGGUCUCCCACGCAAGCAUGACUAAUGCUUCACCAGCUACAGUUCUAACAUGCACUUGAUCUGAUGGCAUCUCUUCCCUGAAAAAGAUAUUCAGCAACUCUUUAAUAAUUCCACCUGUACCUCCGAUUCUCUUUGUCUUGUCAUCUUCCAUUGCUAACCUAGUCAGUAUCUCAAUCCUGAGCUUCUGCAGAUUCGGGUGUUUCUCUCCGUACCUUAAUAUAUCUCUGAUAUUGCUGAAUGUAAAAUAAUCUCUGAUAUCUCUUUACAAAGCUGUUUUCCUGUACCUCCUUGUCGUGUUCGCUAGCAUUUUAUAACUUGCAGGGAUGUUUUCACUGUUUGAAUAUUUGAUGUCGCAACAUUAUCAUCCUUCAGUAAACCUAUUUUGUGCACAUUUGAAUUAUAUAAUUUUCGGUAGGAGAGCUCGUGUGUUCCCUAUUUUUCCACAGUUAUCAUGGUCUCGAGCAAGCUUCUUAAGAAGACUUAGUUCAAGAUGAUUGAAUGUCCAGAACCCAUAAUGCUCAUGAUCAGCAACGAACGAUAUUAUUCUUACAAAUCUCAUCAAUUGUUAAAUUUGAUGUCUUGUUAACAUAAAGAAGAGAUGAAAUUGAUUCUAAAGAACCGGGAAUUCCUGCAACUCAAAGAGAAUGCUGUUUCUUCCCUGCUAUUUUUGACAAAAUUUCUGCUCCUGAUUGUCUGAUUUCCUCUUCUUCUGGGUCUUUCCAGCUCAACAUCUCUACUAGUCUUUCAACUCCUGAGAAAGUUGUUCCAAUUUUCUGUAGAGUGUCAUCAGAAAAUCGCUUACUCAUUGAAGAACUUCGAAGAAUCCGAGCACCCAUAAGCUGUUCAUCUGGUGAAUUUGAAGCUAGAAGUUCCAUCAAAAACACCCAUCUACAUCUUGAAUAAGCAUCAUAGAAAAAUAUCCUGACUGAAACAAUAGAAGGUCCCAAUUCGAACUCUUCACUCACUACAGUAUACCUUCCAUUCCCAGUAAACUUUCUCUAGUAAAGGCAAAGAGGCUUCAGCCAAGGUUAACCCAUAAAAGAUGAUCAAAGCACUCUUUCUGUUUCUUUUGUCAGAGUCACCUUGUGCAAUCUCACCAAAGUCACGUUGUAUGAGCUUUAUUAAUGAAAGAGCUACACAAGCUAUUGCAGCCAUAAUCUGUAGACAUUGAAGAAGCUUGCUUACGUUUCUUGACAGAAAUUACCAAGAAAAAUAAGGUAAAAUAGGCACAUCUGAACUCACCCAUCUUCGAGUUGGAAGAUGUUUUUGUCCCAUUUUUUGUCUUUCUUUUCUGCUUGCAUUUAUACUUUCUACCAUUUAGACCCGGUUUUCUGAACAAGGACUUCAGAAUGGUCCAAACUUUACUCAAACUUAUCUUCAGAAGCCGAAAAGUAUUGAUCCCGGCAUCUGUCAGAGUCCAAGUAGACUGGCGUUGCCACUCAAGUUCGUGACUUCUACAGCUCUACUAAACAUCUUUGAACUUUCUAUCAGAAGUAUGAUUUUUAUGACCCAAAAAUCUGUUUUGUCUAGAGUGAUUGCAAACCCACCAAGAAGAUCCACAGUUGCCCAGAUGAAGCCUAGAGUUUCUAAUCAUAGAUGCCUUCUCAAGGAUUGAGAGGCAGACGGCGAACAGGAUUAGUUUCUUCUUAGGUGCAGGAACUGGUGGCCUCUUUCUCCUUUUGUACAGCAUUAGAAUGAAAGUAGAAGUUCAGUGACUAUUUGACACUACUUUUGACACAAAAAUGUAUUUCAGUCAAUAUUUUCUCUAUAUUUGUAUAAAUAACUUAAUUCGCAAUGAAUAAUGUACUUAUAUACAUAUGUAACCGUUUGGGGAUCAUUUAGGACUAAAUGAUGUCAAAAAAAAAAUAUUGGGCCACAUUGGCUCCGAUUUUUUAAUUUCAGCAAAAUCAGAGCCAAUAACUUUUCCUAUCGGCUCCUAUGCCAAGUACUCCGCUUAAAAACGGAGUAAAUAAGCUCCUUUCAACUGGAGCACUUGGGCAUUUUUUCCUCUAGUGAUAUUACUAGAUCCACCUACAAUAUUCACAUCUAAGGGCGGAUCUGACAAGGGGCCUAAUCUUUUUUCAAUUUGUACGCAAUUUAUUAACAGAUAAGAGACUAUAUAUGUAAUGUUUACACUGAUAGUGCUUUAUUCUAGUCAUUUGUGAUAGGAACAAGCUACUCCCUAUGUCCCAGAAAGAUCUGGACUUGUUGGGUUAUGUAAUCUCAGGUGAUAAGUUAUUGUGUAGUCAACUGUUAUUUUAUUUAAAAGUAAAUAUGAUAGGAGUUGGUGGGGAGUUUAAAUUUGUAGUCCACAGCUCUCACUUUUUGCAAGAUCUCAAAGGGCCCAUAAUAUCUAGGAGCCAACUUCUCAUUCAGUCAUCGAGCUACAGUGUGUUGCUUAUAAAACUGAAAAUAUGAGAUACACCAUUUCCCUCACCUGAAAACUGACAUCCCUUUGGGAAGCAUCUUCUUGAAGUUUCAUCUGCUGGUGUGCCUUUGGAAGGUUGGACUUCAAGUCAUCCACAAUAGCUUCCUCUCUGCCAUCUGUUCUCUAAGUGAAUUGACUGCAGUGCUGCCUGGUGAAAACCGGAUCAAAUGUGGUGGAUCCCUACUUGGCCCAAUACUUGGGAUCGUACCAAUACUUGGCCCAGCAAAUGCACAAUAGCUUCCUUUCUGCCAUCUGUUGAUUUACAUUCAUCUCUUUAUAGCUUCUAAGGGUGUAUGUGUAUGGUUUUCUUGUCCUCCUUUGUUGGUGGGUUGAAAGUUGUUCUUCACCCCUUCGUUGGUGGGUGGAAAGUUAUUCUUUACCCCUUUGUUGGAUGAAGUGUUCCCUUCCUGGGUGAAAAGAAUAUGUUCUUUCAUGAUAUGUGAAGAACAGUUGCUUUUCUGCUUUGGCUUGUCAGAUCAGAAAUAUAUUUGAUGCAUCUUUUCGUAUACUGUUGUAAGCGUGUCAAGUUGACUGUCAGAUGAGAUAUGAUCUAAUCAUUGAGUAUUUGUUAGUAUGGUAGACAUCUUGCUUUUGCUGUAAACCAUCAUGAGCUAUCAGCUGGUUGAAACUGUUAAAUGACGAGCUAGUGUAAGGGGAAAGGCUCUUCUUAUGCUGGAGACACCUUUUACCUGUAUAUGUCAAGGCAUAUAUGACACCAUUGAUUGGAAUGGUAAUUUGAAUGUUACUUAUGUCAGAUGUGAUCAGAGUUGCUCGAUAUCCAUGAUGUGUAUUUAUUGCCUAGUUAGAUUAAAGGAGGUGGUUCGCAAUUUUACAUUAUAGGAGGCUGGAGUUCAUGUAGUCAAAUGGGAAACAACAGAUUUUCCUCUGAAACUGCAAACCAUUGGCAACCCAAACACCCCCUCUCUGAUUCGCUGUGAGGGUCAGGCAUGAAGGCCAUUUGACAAUCCCUGCUUGCUGAUCUGUGGCUCUGUUCGGCUUGGUAUUGAUAUAUCAGAGUUUCAUAUGGGACCCCCCCCCCCCCCUCUCCAAUUAAUGGGCAGGUGUUGAAUUGUUUUGAGGAAGGAAGUUUGUAUACCAACAAUGUCUUGGGAGAGGUAGAUCAAGUGGCCACCAAAGAGGUAUUUUCUGCACCUUAUAGACUAUAGAACCAGUUCUUCCGCCUGUAGCGAGCUAGCAGCACAAUUGGUGGCGAGUGAUGGUGGUGCUGUCCUUGGUUUCUUGUGUGUGUGUAUUGUGAAGGGUUAGAUAAUAGACGGCUUAUCAUUUAAGAGAGAAUAUAGUUAGAAUGAGUGGUUAAUACAAAGUGAAUAUAUCUGACAAGUCAUGGCAUCUGGUGUGAUCUCUUCACUUAGUGAGCAUUUAAGAAUUAAGACCCUAUAUGAGCAGGUGCUCAAUCAUUGAUGUUGCAUUUACUAUUGUUACGAAAACAUAUUUAAUCUUCACUUGUUCAUGGAGUUGGAAUUUCCUCCAGCAUUUCUGCUUAAAUGAUGUACUCAUAUAGACACAACACAUAUAUUAAAGAGAGUGGCGAAGUAGAGAAAAGAAAAGAAAAGUGAUGGGUGUGGCUGUGUGGGAUCAACUUUGGCAGACAAAAGUAUAGAUGAAAAGCUUACUGAAAUUAGUGCUAAACACUUGAUGUUGGACAUGCCAAACAGGGCUUUAUCAAAUGUGACGCCCAGUGGUGAUGGUCGCUGAUGGCUAAUCCGAUGAGGAGAGUUGUGGUGCUGAUACUAAAUGGAUUGAAUUAAUCCUUUCGUGUUACUAAUCAGCUGAUAUUCCAUUUGGAUGCAAAUUGGCUGUUUUGAAGCUCCAAAUAUCCUAUUGCAAACUGGCACACCACGACCUCCCAUCUAAAUUGCAUUUUCUGUAGGAUCAUUCUUUGAAACUAGAAGGAUUAAUACUCUUACAUUUUGUUCGAUGUUAUUUUGGAUUGAUGUAACUAUGUUUUGGCUGGUUACCAAGAGAUGUCCAAAAUAAUUAUGAGAAUGUCAAUUAGUAAUAAUCAAAAGAUACUCCGCAUUUAAGAAA